rnacentral:rRNA from 1 species
AUUGAACGCUGGCGGCAGGCCUAACACAUGCAAGUCGAGCGGAUGAAGGGAGCUUGCUCCUGGAUUCAGCGGCGGACGGGUGAGUAAUGCCUAGGAAUCUGCCUGGUAGUGGGGGAUAACGUCCGGAAACGGGCGCUAAUACCGCAUACGUCCUGAGGGAGAAAGUGGGGGAUCUUCGGACCUCACGCUAUCAGAUGAGCCUAGGUCGGAUUAGCUAGUUGGUGGGGUAAAGGCCUACCAAGGCGACGAUCCGUAACUGGUCUGAGAGGAUGAUCAGUCACACUGGGACUGAGAAACGGUCCAGACUCCUACGGGAGGCAGCAGUGGGGAAUAUUGGACAAUGGGCGGAAGCCUGAUCCAGCCAUGCCGGGUGUGUGAAGAAGGUCUUCGGAUUGUAAAGCACUUUAAGUUGGGAGGAAGGGCAGUAAGUUAAUACCUUGCUGUUUUGACGUUACCAACAGAAUAAGCACCGGCUAACUUCGUG